rnacentral:rRNA from 1 species
CCUACGGGAGGCAGCAGUGAGGAAUAUUGGUCAAUGGGCGCGAGCCUGAACCAGCCAAGUAGCGUGAAGGAUGACUGCCCUACGGGUUGUAAACUUCUUUUAUAAAGGAAUAAAGUGAGGCACGUGUGCCUUUUUGUAUGUACUUUAUGAAUAAGGAUCGGCUAACUCCGUGCCAGCAGCCGCGGUAAUACGGAGGGUGCAAGCGUUACUCGGAAUCAUUGGGAGUAAAGGGCGCGUAGGUGGGAUAGUAAGUCAGAUGUGAAAGCCUACGGCUUAACCAUAGAACUGCAUUUGAUACUGGUAGUCUAGAGUAUAGGUGAGGUAGGUGGAAUUCGUGGUGUAGCGGUAAAAUGCGUAGAGAUCAAGAAGAAUACCCAUUGCGAAGGCAACCUGCUAGAACAUCACUGACACUGAUGCGCGAAAGCGUGGGGAGCAAACAGGAUUAGAUACCCCAGUAGUC